rnacentral:rRNA from 1 species
GACGUAGGGUCCGAGCGUUGUCCGGAUUUACUGGGCGUAAAGAGCGUGUAGGCGGCCUGAAAGGUCAGCUGUGAAAACUCGAGGCUCAACCUCGAGACGUCGGUUGAAACCAUCUGGCUAGAGUCCGGAAGAGGAGUGUGGAAUUCCCGGUGUAGCGGUGAAAUGCGCAGAUAUCGGGAAGAACACCCGUGGCGAAGGCGGCACUCUGGGACGGUACUGACGCUGAGACGCGAAAGCGUGGGGAGCGAACAGG